GACUUUUUGGGUUUUUUGCAGUUCUCAAGUCUACUGAUAAACUCCAGGUCUUGUGACCUUGUUCUUCAAUAAGCUGUGCUCCCAGAGAGACUCUGCACAUAUCUAGGAAGGUUGCUUUCCCACAGUCAUAACUGCUCAGAACCAAUACUCCAGUUGCAUUUGGUUUGCCAUGUCAUACAAAAUUCUGGACAAAAGGAACAGGGAUGAAAACAGUGGUUUUGCUCUCCGGUUGAAAUUCCCUCCAGGAGCACAAGCUUAGGAAUCUUGUUAAGGAUUUAGAACCAUGGGAUUUUUUAGAACCUACAGAUUUCUGACUUUCAAUUAAGUAUCUCUAUGC